rnacentral:rRNA from 1 species
UAACACGUAAGCAACCUGCCUAUCAGAGGGGAACAACAGUUAGAAAUGACUGCUAAUACCGCAUAUGCCUUAGUAUCGCAUGGUACAAAAGGGAAAGGAGCAAUCCGCUGAUAGAUGGGCUUGCGUCUGAUUAGCUAGUUGGUGGGGUAAAGGCCUACCAAGGCGACGAUCAGUAGCCGGACUGAGAGGUUGAACGGCCACAUUGGGACUGAGAUACGGCCCAGACUCCUACGGGAGGCAGCAG